rfam:Desulfotomaculum ferrireducens strain GSS09, complete genome.
GGUCAAGAAGAAAAGGGCAUACGGUGGAUGCCUUGGCGCUAUGGGCCGAAGAAGGGCGCGGUAAGCUGCGAAAAGCUACGGGGAGCUGCAAGCAAGCCUUGAUCCGUAGAUACCCGAAUGGGGCAACCCGGCGGAGCAAACCUCCGUCACCCUAUGCUGAACACAUAGGCAUAGAGGAGGGCACCCGGGGAACUGAAACAUCUAAGUACCCGGAGGAAAAGAAAGAAACAUCGAACCCCUCAGUAGCGGCGAGCGAACAGGGGCGAGCCUAAACCAGAUUUCUUCGGAAAUCUGGGGUUGCGGGACCCUCAUCACGUGAAGACUAGACCUAGCCGAAGACACCUGGAAAGGUGCUGCACAGAAGGUAAAACACCUGUAGGCGAAAGGUCGAAAUUUGCAGAGGGGAUCCCAAGUACCGCAGGACACGUGAAACCCUGUGGGAAUCCGGGGGGACCACCCCCCAAGGCUAAAUACCCAUAGCGACCGAUAGUGAACAAGUACCGUGAGGGAAAGGUGAAAAGCACCCCGGGAGGGGAGUGAAAAAGAACCUGAAACCGUAUGCUUACAAGCUGUCAGAGCACGGUUAAAGUGUGAUGGCGUACUUUUUGUAGAACGGACCGGCGAGUUACAUCUAACGUGCAGGUUAAGUUGUGAAAGACGGAGCCAUAGCGAAAGCGAGUCUUAAUAGGGCGCAAUGUACGUUGGAGUAGACCCGAAACCUGGUGAUCUACCCAUGUCCAGAGUGAAGCUUUAGUAAAAUAAAGUGGAGGCUCGAACCGACCUUCGUUGAAAAGGAGGCGGAUGAGGUGUGGGUAGGGGUGAAAUGCCAAUCGAACCAGGAGAUAGCUGGUUCUCCCCGAAAUAGCUUUAGGGCUAGCCUCGGUUUGAGGUAUACGGAGGUAGAGCACUGAAUGGGCUAGGGGCCUUCACGGGUUACCGAACCCAAUCAAACUCCGAAUGCCGUAAUACCAUGACCGGGAGUCAGACUGCGGGUGCUAAGAUUCGUAGUCAAAAGGGAAACAGCCCAGACCAACAGCUAAGGUCCCCAAGACAUGCUAAGUGGAAAAGGAUGUGGGGUUGCAGAGACAACCAGGAUGUUGGCUUAGAAGCAGCCACCAUUUAAAGAGUGCGUAAUAGCUCACUGGUCAAGUGGCCCUGCGCCGAAAAUGAAACGGGGCUAAGCAUGACACCGAAGCUUUGGAUUCUCGAGGUUCGAUGUUCGAGAUUCGAUGUUCGAAAGGAGAUGCACUUGGUUCUUGUAAUGAAGUUGCAGUGCUACAAACAUGGAAAUAAUCGAAUUUCGAACUUCGAAUAUCGAACUUCGAGAAUGGUAGGGGAGCGUUCCUAGUUCGUAGAAGUCGUACCGAAAGGAGCGGUGGAGGACUAGGAAGUGAGAAUGCCGGUAUGAGUAAGCGAAAAGGCAGGUGAGAAUCCUGCCCGCCGAAAACCUAAGGUUUUCUGGGGAAGGUUCGUCCGCCCAGAGUAAGUCGGGACCUAAGCCGAGGCCGCAAGGCGUAGGCGAUGGACAAUCGGUUGAGAAUCCGAUACCACCAAUAACCGUUUGAGGAUGGAGUGACGCAGGAGGGUAGGUUAAGCCAGCGGAUGGAAAAGCUGGUCCAAGCCAGUAGGGAGUGUGGUAGGCAAAUCCGCCACACAUAAUCCUGAGAGGUGACGGGGAGCGAAAAAUAGUAGCGAAGUAACUGAUCCCAAACUGCCAAGAAAAGCUUCUAACGAGGUUGAUUGGUGCCCGUACCGCAAACCGACACAGGUAGGUGGGGUGAAAAUCCUAAGGCGCGCGAGAGAACCCUCGUUAAGGAACUCGGCAAAAUGACCCCGUAACUUCGGGAGAAGGGGUGCCUCGUUAUCGUGAAAGAAAAACUUCUGGAGCGAGAAGAGGCCGCAGAGAAAAGGCCCAAGCGACUGUUUACCAAAAACACAGGUCCCUGCUAAAGCGAAAGCUGACGUAUAGGGGCUGACGCCUGCCCGGUGCUGGAAGGUUAAGGGGAAAUGUUAGCGCAAGCGAAGCAUAGAACCGAAGCCCCAGUAAACGGCGGCCGUAACUAUAACGGUCCUAAGGUAGCGAAAUUCCUUGUCAGGUAAGUUCUGACCCGCACGAAAGGCGUAACGAUUUGGGCACUGUCUCAACGAGGGGCUCGGUGAAAUUGUAAUGACGGUGAAGAUGCCGUCUACCUGCGACAGGACAGAAAGACCCCGUGGAGCUUUACUGUAGCUUGACAUUGGGUUUUGGUAUUUGAUGUACAGGAUAGGUGGGAGACUUGGAAGUCGGGACGCCAGUUUCGAUGGAGUCGCCGUUGGGAUACCACCCUUUAGAUAUUGAAAUUCUAACUUAAUGCCUUGAAGCAGGUAUAAGGACAGUGUCAGGUGGGCAGUUUGACUGGGGCGGUCGCCUCCCAAAAGGUAACGGAGGCGCCCAAAGGUUCCCUCAGCGCGGACGGAAAUCGCGCGUUAGAGUGCAAAGGCAAAAGGGAGCUUGACAGCGAGACCAACAAGUCGAGCUGGUACGAAAGUAGGGCUUAGUGAUCCGGCGGUUCUGAGUGGAAGGGCCGUCGCUCAACGGAUAAAAGCUACCCCGGGGAUAACAGGCUUAUCUCCCCCAAGAGUCCACAUCGACGGGGAGGUUUGGCACCUCGAUGUCGGCUCAUCGCAUCCUGGGGCUGAAGUAGGUCCCAAGGGUUGGGCUGUUCGCCCAUUAAAGCGGUACGUGAGCUGGGUUCAGAACGUCGUGAGACAGUUCGGUCCCUAUCCGUCGCAGGCGCAGGAAACUUGAGAAGAGCUGUCCCUAGUACGAGAGGACCGGGAUGGACGGAUCACUGGAGUACCAGCUAUCGUGCCAACGGUAGCGCUGGGUAACUAUAUCCGGACGGGAUAAGUGCUGAAAGCAUCUAAGCACGAAGCCCCCUUCAAGAUGAGGUUUCCCACUACGCAAGUAGGUAAGAUCCCAUGCAGACUACGUGGUAGAUAGGCCGGGUGUGUAAGCACAGUAAUGUGUUGAGCUGACCGGUACUAAUAGAUCGAGGUCUUGACCAA